rnacentral:rRNA from 1 species
AGAGUUUGAUCCUGGCUCAGGACGAACGCUGGCGGUGUGCUUAAUACAUGCAAGUCGAAUGAGGCCAUUCCUUCGGGAAUGAGUCGAGUGGCGGACGGGUGAGUAACACGUGAGCAAUCUACCCUUGUGCGGGGGAUAACC